ACGCCGGCUCUUCCCAAAAUGGAGCUCAUCUCUGGGACCUGGGUGAAACAACCAACGGAGGUCAGAGGGGCGCAGAGCAGGUGUAAUAUUGGCCUCACAGCCGAGUCCACUGAAGAAGAAAUGCUUCUAUACUGGUGGGUUUCACAUAUAUUCUCACGGUGAGAAUACUAAUUUGCAUCUUACUCCUUUCCAUUGUGCAAGUCAUCAUCAUCAUCAUCAUCAUCACCCUUUUUCGAAGACCGGAAGCAUGGAGACCAUCAGAAGCAUUACCCUCCGCAAAAAAUGGGAAAAAAAAAAACUGGGCUGUUUUCUUUUAUAAAAAAAAAAUCUUCUAACUCUAUGCUGAUUCCGUGAUUAGCAUCAAUUACGACGAUUUAUCAGUUAGUUUGAAUAUUUUUAACCCUAUGGUUCGGAUGCUCAUGACCAGCCGAUCUUGACAGGAUCGACCAACUGGGAGGUCUGGACACAGCUGAUCCUGUCGAGUAUCGAUCGGCAAAAAUCUCAGGCGGACCAGGUUUUUGGCGUCACUUGGGCUCGAAAAACUCUCGACCCAGGCAUCCAAUAUUUUACCCUCCAUCAAGGCCUAAUUCGCCACGGUUCAUUGUACACGAAGGUGGCACGAAGCAGGAGAGCCCAUGCGCAGCCGAUGAACUGACUUCCAGACGCACUGGAUAAACCCGAAUUCGCAUGCGCGCUUCGGGGAGUCGCCCGAUUCCUCCCAUGACUGUCAAUCGAGCAAGGAGAUGGAGGAGAGAUACACGGAGGCAAGCCUACUGACC
rnacentral:lncRNA from 1 species